CACGAACGCUGGCGGCAGGCUUAACACAUGCAAGUCGAGCGCCCCGCAAGGGGAGCGGCAGACGGGUGAGUAACGCGUGGGAAUCUACCCAUCUCUACGGAAUAACGCAUGGAAACGUGUGCUAAUACCGUAUACGUCCUUCGGGAGAAAGAUUUAUCGGAGAUGGAUGAGCCCGCGUUGGAUUAGCUAGUUGGUGGGGUAAAGGCCUACCAAGGCGACGAUCCAUAGCUGGUCUGAGAGGAUGAUCAGCCACACUGGGACUGAGACACGGCCCAGACUCCUGCGGGAGGCAGCAGUGGGGAAUAUUGGACAAUGGACUCAAGCAUGAUCCAGCCAUGCCGCGUGAGUGAUGAAGGCCCUAGGGUUGUAAAGCUCUUUCACCGGUGAAGAUAAUGACGGUAACCGGAGAAGAAGCCCCGGCUAACUUCGUGCCAGCAGCCGCCGUAAAAC
rnacentral:rRNA from 1 species